CUGUUAUUGUCUUUGGUUGGCCAUAGCAAGUGUAUCUCUUUCAUAGUUUGUUGAUGAUGUUUAUCAGUUUGCGUCCUUGGCCUUUGGGAGUAUUAUUAUGUCUGGAGGGACUACUUUCUGGUUCCGGGUGAUAACAGUUGUUCUGUUUUAUUUGGCAACAUGGGAGCAAAAUCCCAACAAACAAGGUUACGCUGUUUGCAAUAAUAGUUUUUGCUAUUAUACCAACGAGCUUAUUCAACGUGUACAAUGUUUGUAAGGUUGUUCAAGCAUGGAAAGGAAGCAUGCUACUGGCGUUGGCAAUGCUUUACCCGUUUGUUGUGCUUGUGGGAGGAGUCCUGAUAUGGGAUUAUUUGUCUCCAUAUGAUUUAAUUGGGAACUAUCCACAUUUGGUUAUAGUGGGAACUGGAUUCGCGUUUGGGUUCCUUGUGGUAGGAU